UGUCCCCUGCGGUGUUCGACCGGGCCCUUAUUUUCCGAACCGAUAGCUUCCCCCGGUUGCGGCCUCUGGUGCCACUGUUGUGAUCGUCCCUCGCCUUCGGGCCCGCCGGACGAACCUGAUGUGGCCGGUACGCGACCACCCUGAUUGAGCAGGGUUCGGAGGCCGGGCCCACCGGCACAAGCGGGGGACUC
rfam:Betaproteobacteria bacterium RBG_16_66_20 RBG_16_scaffold_23681, whole genome shotgun sequence.